GCCUGAGAAGCUUCUGCUGCUGAGGGAGGUUAGAAUGAUCAUCCCUCCCACAGAUCUGGGCCGUUUUGACAGUAUGGUUUUGCCCUUUGAGCUUGAAGCCUAUGACAUACUAAAAAACCGCUCUGUAAGGUCUCCGGUCCUGCGUUCUCCUCGUCAUGGUGGAACACCCCGUCGCCAUUUAAUAACUCCCAUCCCAGG